GUGGAAGCUGCUGAGUGUUGCUGGCAGAGUGUUCUGGAGCCCAGCAAAACCCUCCAAAACCCUUGCACUUCCCAAAAGAUAAACAGAAUAAGCGAAAGAAGGGAAGCCUCUUCCUCUAAGGUCCGGGUUUCCAAUAGUCCUGGAUCUUUCUGGAGCUAGGAAGAGGAGCAGUUGGCAGCGGCCACUGCUCACAUCCGGUCUUGGAAAGACGGUUUUUCUCUGUUUCGGGAGGAGGGAGGUGAGGGACUUGCAGUACCUGGUCAGGGAACCUGCAAAGAGAACUCUGGGGAGGAGAACAGCCCCGGAGCGGAGCAGCCAUCCUCUGAUCAUGCCCCGGUAAGGGGGACGGACUUCGAGGGCAACUCGUCGCGGACUGCCUGGGCUUAACCAGCAAGCUGCGAACGGCCAGGGGCCCGGAACUGCGCGGCACGGCCGGCCCGGCGGGGGGCUAUCGUCUAUGUCUUCUUGGGGCGCCAGGCGGAUCGGGGUCUCGUUUUUGCAGGAAGAGCCCAGCGCUGGUGGCUUCAGGUGGCUGCCGCCGCCGCUGCUAGUGCUGUUUCCGCCGCUUGUGCGAGGAGCAGAGACCGCCGAGCGGGGAGACUACUGGGCAGCGAGGCAUCGGACAUGUGUCAGCACAUCUGGGGCGCACAUCCGUUGAGCCUGAAGGGAGAUUUGCUGGAACAAUUCAAACUGCGAUAUUGAUCUUGGGGGUGAUUAUUCCUGGCUGGCUGUCGGGUGGGAGUGCAAGUGUGCGCUCGCUUAGGAGGUGUGUGCCUGUGUGCCCGUGUGCAUGUGUGUGUGCCGUGUGGGGCUUCCCCCUUCCCCCCCUGUUUUCCCGUCGAGUGAUGCACUUGGAAUGAGAAUCAGAGGAUGGAAAUAGUCUGGGAGGUGCUUUUUCUUCUUCAAGCCAAUUUCAUCGUCUGCAUAUCAGGUAUGGGGCGCGCUGGAGUCACCGGCGGGUUCGGGUUAUGUUGUGGUCUUUGGCAUGUAUAGGUUUUAUUGUGUGUAGACUCGCAAGUCGCCUAGCAGGGUGGGACGGGAGAGGAGUGGUGGCAAGAGACCCUUUAAGCUCUGAGGGUUUGCCGCCUUCGGAAUUAAGAACCAUCUAAACCCAAGGGUGUGUGUGUGUGUGUGUGUGUGUGUGUGUGUGUGUGUGUGUGUGUGCGCGCGCGCGCGCGCGCGCGUGCGCGCGGGUUGUAUCUGUAUGGAGUCCUGGAACAUAAACUCUGGCCAGGAAAUUUAAGCCUUGGCAACCCCCCACCCCCACCACCCUCUGGCUUUCAGAGUUCCCAAACUCAUUGGUUCCUGGCUGAAAAAACAAGGAUACAGAGCCCUGCUUUGAUAUCUAUGCACUUACGGGAGACUGCAGAAGGAUGCGGGGACUGGAGAGUACCAACAGGGACCAGAGAGAUGUAGAUGUCCUCCACUGCCUUCCUCAGACACAUCAGGGCAACCCCAAAUAAAAGGAAAACCCAUCGGAAACAACGCAAUAUCAUAAAUACUACUUUAGGUCAUGGUCUUUCCUAAUUCCCGGUGGCAAGAAGGUACUGGCUCAGAGUUAUUGACCUCAGGCUACAUGUGCCAGUGUGUGGUUUUAGGAGCUAGUGGGAAGUCAGGGCAUUGAGGUGAGUGAGGCAGAGCUUUUGCCUGCCUGUAUGUAUGUCUGUGUGUUGGGAAGGAUUUUGAUUUCCAAGCAGUGUCUUUGUCAGUGCAGGGAGUUGGGGUUGUGAACUGGAGAUGCAAGAAAAAGCUCCUGGAUCAGCAGUGUUCCUCAAUUCAGUUCACUGCCUCCUCCCAUUGAUAGUGUCCACACCAUUUCCCUUCACACUUGUUAUUUAAGCACCCAGGGUAAGGCCCAUUUGCAGUACUUCCCUCAGCCUGCAUUCCCUCUGCAGAAUUGGGGACUCAGCCAACUUCCCAUGAAGUCAACAGAAGAGGAGAGCAGGAACCUUGCCCCUGUGAGCAGGCAUAUUUGAGCAACAUGGGGGUGGAGGGACAUGUCCCUAAGUCUUCCUUCAGCAGAGCCAAUCCCCACCCUAAGGCAGACCUCAUUCUGGGUAUUAAAAAUCCUUGUCUGCACCUUAUCGUGGACCUGGUUACGAAUACCGGUACUCAGGGUAGGGAUGGGGCAUAUUUUAUUUGAAAUAAUUCUGUUUAUGACUAGAGCACCCUACUCAGAAAUUUAUACUGUAAUACUUUAGAGGUAUGUUGUAUACCUAGAAGACAAUAAACAAUACCCUGGGGUCACUGCAAAUCUUCACCUCCUUUAACCCAUCCUACAUCUAAGAGGAAAAACUCCCAGGUGACUUGUAAAGGUUUCUAUCAGUCGAAUAUCCAGGGGUAGACUGGGUGGUGUCUCAAGGCCACAUUUUACAUCCUUCUCUUCUAUACUUCUUUUUCAAACUCCCUUUGUUCCAUAUUAUUUUACUAAUUAUAAAAUAGACCUGCCCUACGUCUUUCCAGCAUCAUAAAUCAGCAAACCGUCUGAAUCCCUUUAAGAUUUACGAAAAGUUAACAUUCAUUAAAGCUCUGGACUUCUCCCAUCUUUUGUCCCCAACCCCUGAUCUGCAUUUGGUCAGGCCAGCACAAAGGAGAACCAUCUGAGAUUGGGUCUGUUUUAGCCUCCAAGGUAUACUUAUCACAGCUAUACUUGAUUUCAUAUAUCAGCAAUCAAAUUGUAUUUAUAGAAGCAUUGGAGGAGGUUAUUUCUAACCCAGGAGAAGUGCUAUGCAGUACAUGGCCUUUUAACAUGUAUUUUACUAAAUAAUCAUCAUUGCUAUGUAAUGAGAAGGUAAAAGUAUAAGCAAAAUUGCUAGCUAUUAGCUGAACAUGGUAAAAUAGGUUAGCAUUCGAAAUGCCUAGUUAGAAUCAGCAUUCAUUUACACUUUAUGAAGACAUUUAGGCAGAGAUGCAACAUUAUGUACUCUAUAUUUACACAUUUAUAAACUUAGCUUUAAAAAGCCAUUAUUUCUUUAGGGCCAAAGGGGGUAGCACUCUCCCUUUAUCAGCAGGACUGUUCAAUGAUGUCCAUGUAUGUGACAAUUCUGAUUAGUAAUAUAUUUAUGACUCACAUUUGCCACAGUUUGGGGGACUUUGUUUUUUCCAUCUGGCAGCUUUAAGAGGUAUAGAAAUGCAGUGCACUAAUGUUAAAUAAUUGUGGCUCAGGGAGAGCUUAGUGAGCCUGUCAUUUGUUUCCAUGAUUUGCAGUUUUAAUUUAAUCAUGACUGAGCUUUACCAAAAGGAAUUCAUGGAACCUACUAC
rnacentral:lncRNA from 1 species